rnacentral:misc_RNA from 1 species
GUAGCAUUCCUCACGAACAUCGGACUGCAUGGCACUAGACCAGAACGGAACUGAACGUCGUUUGAAAUCAGCGUUAAAGCUUACAGUGGGCAUAUAGGAGUCUUCGACCCAGUAACCUUCACGUUUUCCUCAUCCCUGAGAUUGAACGUCAAUCAUUAACCACAGCGAUAACACAGUAAAUGUUAGUCAGGGAUAACAAGGAACAUUUUGAGUAUCACCCUCAGCCACACCAUACAAACAGGCAACCUAAGGCGAACGGUGAAAAAUUGCCAACCGAAUUCUAUUGAUAGGUAUGUAACACAAGAAACCGAACGUGCAACCAAUAAAAAUUGUGCUGAAAAAUGAAGAGGAACGCACAGUAGGACGUUGCCGCAUAAGGUCAGGAUCCAA